AUUUAUAUAAUAUAAACAUUAUAUUUAACUUCCAAUUAAAAAAUCUAACCUCUUAGUAUAAAUA
rnacentral:tRNA from 1 species